rnacentral:rRNA from 1 species
UUGGUUAAGUUAUUAAGGGCGCACGGCGAAUGCCUUGGCACUAGGAGCCGAUGAAGGACGGCACUAACACCGAUAUGCUUCGGGGAGCUGUAAGUGAGCUUUGAUCCGGAGAUUGCCGAAUGGGGGAACCCACUACGUUUAAUCGCGUAGUAUCUUGACGUGAAUACAUAGCGUCUUGAUGGCAGACCCAGGGAACUGAAACAUCUAAGUACCUGGAGGAAGAGAAAGAAAAAUCGAUCCCCUGAGUAGCGGCGAGCGAAACGGGAAGAGCCCAAACCAAGAGGCUUGCCUCUUGGGGUUGUAGGACACUCUAUACGGAGUUACAAAAGAGCGAGUUAGAUGAAGCGACUUGGAAAGGUCCGCCAGAGCAGGUAAAAGCCCUGUAGUCGAAAGUUCGUUCUCUCCUGAGUGGAUCCUGAGUACGGCGGAACAC